rnacentral:antisense_RNA from 1 species
GGAGUUUGCAGGAGUAACUUACUGCGCUCUUGGAUAUCACCACCGAUAUGAUAAGGCAAACCACAGUUGGCAAAAGAAACAAAUGGACCGCGCUCAAACAUAACAAUCUCUGCGUUUUCGCUUAGGCGUCGAGCCCUUGCAGCAGCGGAUGCACCGCCCGCAACACCAC